UACGAAGGGGGCCAGCGUUGUUCGGAUUUACUGGGCGUAAAGCGCACGUAGGCGGAUUGUUAAGUCAGAGGUGAAAUCCUGGAGCUCAACUCCAGAACUGCCUUUGAUACUGGCAAUCUAGAGUCCGGAAGAGGUGAGUGGAACUCCUAGUGUAGAGGUGGAAUUCGUAGAUAUUAGGAAGAACACCAGUGGCGAAGGCGGCUCACUGGUCCGGUACUGACGCUGAGGUGCGAAAGCGUGGGGAGCAAACAGG
rnacentral:rRNA from 1 species